rnacentral:rRNA from 1 species
UACGUAGGGGGCAAGCGUUGUCCGGAUUUAUUGGGCGUAAAGAGCGUGUAGGCGGCUAGGUAGGUCCGUUGUGAAAACUCGAGGCUCAACCUCGAGACGUCGAUGGAAACCAUCUGGCUAGAGUCCGGAAGAGGAGAGUGGAAUUCCUGGUGUAGCGGUGAAAUGCGCAGAUAUCGGGAAGAACACCCGUGGCGAAGGCGGUUCUCUGGGACGGUACUGACGCUGAGACGCGAAAGCGUGGGGAGCGAACAGG